rnacentral:ncRNA from 1 species
UAAUAGAUAAAAUUUUUAUGUUUUUCAUAAUUUAUUAUAAAUUUAUUUUACAUAUAAAUUUUAGUAUAUAAUUUUAAUUAUUUAAAUAAUAAUUAAUUAGUUAAUUUAGUAAUUAAAAUUAAAAAUUUAAGAAAUUAAGAUUUAGUAAUAUAAAAAUUAAUAACUAAUUUUGUGCCAGCAGUUGCGGUUAAACAAAAAUUAAAUUAAAUUAUUUCAGUAUAUAAUAAAUAUAAAUAUAUUUUAAAUUAAAUAUUAAAUUAUUAAGUGAAAUUUUAAUUUAAUUAAAUUUUAUAAAAAUAUUUAUGAUUUAAAAAAUUUUAAUAUAAACUAGGAUUAGAUACCCUAUUAUUAAAAAUUUAAAUUUAAAUACUAAAAUAGUAAAUAAUUUAUAUUGAAACUUAAAUAAUAUGGCGGUAUUUUAGUUCAUUUAGAGGAAUCUGUCUAAUAAUUGAUAAUCCACGAAUAAAUUUACUUAAUUUAUAAUUUUGUAUAUCAUUGUAAAAAAAAUAUUUUUAAAUAAAAAUAAUAUUUAAAAAUUUAAAUUAAAAAUUAAUUCAGAUCAAGAUGCAGAGUAUAAUUAAGAUUAUGAUGGGUUACAAUAAAUAUAUUUAAAUGAAUAGGAUUUUGUAAGUAUAAUUGAAGGUGGAUUUAAAUGUAAUUUUAAUUAGUUUAUUAAAAUGAUUAAUAAUUAAAAUAUGUACAUAUUGCCCGUCACUUUCAUUUAAAAAUUGAAAUAAGUCGUAACAAAGUAGAGGUACUGGAAAGUGUUUCUAGAAUGU